rnacentral:rRNA from 1 species
CUGCCCUUGACUCUGGGAUAAGCCUGGGAAACUGGGUCUAAUACCGGAUACGACCAUCUGGCGCAUGUCAUGGUGGUGGAAAGCUUUUGUGGUUUUGGAUGGACUCGCGGCCUAUCAGCUUGUUGGUGGGGUAAUGGCCUACCAAGGCGACGACGGGUAGCCGGCCUGAGAGGGUGACCGGCCACACUGGGACUGAGACACGGCCCAGACUCCUACGGGAGGCAGCAGUGGGGAAUAUUGCACAAUGGGCGAAAGCCUGAUGCAGCGACGCCGCGUGAGGGAUGACGGCCUUCGGGUUGUAAACCUCUUUCAGUAGGGAAGAAGCGAAAGUGACGGUACCUGCAGAAGAAGCGCCGGCUAACUACGUGCCAGCAGCCGCGGUAAUACGUAGGGCGCAAGCGUUAUCCGGAAUUAUUGGGCGUAAAGAGCUCGUAGGCGGUUUGUCGCGUCUGCUGUGAAAGACCGGGGCUCAACUCCGGUUCUGCAGUGGGUACGGGCAGACUAGAGUGCAGUAGGGGAGACUGGAAUUCCUGGUGUAGCGGUGAAAUGCGCAGAUAUCAGGAGGAACACCGAUGGCGAAGGCAGGUCUCUGGGCUGUAACUGACGCUGAGGAGCGAAAGCAUGGGGAGCGAACAGGAUUAGAUACCCUGGUAGUCCAUGCCGUNNNCGUUGGGCACUAGGUGUGGG